rnacentral:rRNA from 1 species
UACGGAGGGUGCGGGCGUUGUCCGGAAUCACUGGGCGUAAAGGGCGCGUAGGCGGCCUGAUAAGUAGGGGGUGAAAUCCUGCGGCUUAACCGCAGGGCUGCCUUCUAAACUGUCAGGCUCGAGCACAGUAGAGGCAGGUGGAAUUCCCGGUGUAGCGGUGGAAUGCGUAGAGAUCGGGAAGAACAUCAGUGGCGAAGGCGGCCUGCUGGGCUGUUGCUGACGCUGAGGCGCGACAGCGUGGGGAGCAAACAGG